rnacentral:rRNA from 1 species
AUUGAACGCUGGCGGCAGGCCUAACACAUGCAAGUAGAACGAGUGGCGGACGGGUGAGUAAUGUCUGGGAAACUGCCCGAUGGAGGGGGAUAAUUACUGGAAACGGUAGCUAAUACCGCAUAUCAUAGGAUGUGCCCAUAGGGGAUUAGCUAGUAGGUGGGGUAACGGCUCACCUAGGCGACGAUCCCUAGCUGUUCCGAGAGGAUGACCAGCCACACUGGAACUGAGGCACGGUCCAGACUCCUACGGUAGGCAGCAGUGGGGAAUAUUGCACAAGGGGCGCAAUCCUGAUGCAUCCAUGCCGCGUGUAUGAAGAAGGCCUUCGUGUUGUAAAGUACUUUCAGCGGGGAGGCGUUACCCGCAGAAGAAGCACCGGCUAACUCCGUGCCAGCAGCCGCGGUAAUAC